ACCGCCCAUCACCACGCACGGACCUGGAGAUGCCGCCCAAGUUGAUCCAUCCGGUUACCGCAGCCACCACAAGACGCUGCCCGCCGUCCUCCAACCCCACUUUCCUGCCCCGGUGCUUGUGCUUGUGCUGCUGCUGCUGCUGCUGCUGAUGUCCAACCCAUCUCCUGACGGCACCAGCGUCUGCGACGCCGAGAUGCACAUGUUUCCUUCCAAUCCGACCGCGACAAGAUCAGUAUGGCGUGUGCCUUGUAGCUGAAUAAUUGGAUGAAAAUUCACGAGAGCGACUCGGACAACGCCCCGUAGACAAGAAAAUCUCCCUAGUAAGAUCAAUAUGGAGCGGAGCAUGCCUUGUAGAUGAAUAAUUGGCUGCGGGAUUCAGGGCAGCGACUCGGACAACGCCGGAGGCAAGAACGACUCGUACUAAGUUUCUUCGACUGGGAGCGCGACAACCAUCAGAAGGUUCAGAAGAGCGACUCGGACAACGCCAGAGACAAGAACGACUCGUAGUAAGGUAAAUAAUUGGCAGCAGGUUCAGGAGGACUUCCUCCUCUCGGAUGCUGGGGACAAAGACGAGUACAAUGGCUAGGUUACUGUUCCGCUACUUGUGGUGCUGCUGCUGUCCAUCGGAGCUCCUGGUGGCGCUUCCAGCCUCCGUGAGGAUGAGAUGCCCAUGUUUUCUUCGACUCAGACUGCGACCACUGUAGGAAGAUGAAUAUGGAGCAUGCCUUGUAGCUGAAUAAUUGGCUCCACGUUCAGGAGAUCAAAUCGGACUGCCCCUGAGACAAGAAUGACUCGUAGUAAGGUUCAGGAGGACUUUCUCCUCUCGGAUGCUGGGGACAACAACAUGGCGAGAACCCUAGCUACCUUAGUAUGGUGGAAUAGGCCAAAGCGGCAGCGAUGGCAAUGAUCCACAGCUCCAGUUUCAGGAGAGCGACUUUCUCCACACGACUACGCUGGAGACAAGAACGACUCCUAGUAAGGUUCAGAACAUACCGGGGUUGAAUAGCACCAAGCUGGACGUACCAGGAGGCAGGAUUGGAGGGUGGACCAGGACUCCGCUUGUGCUUUCAGAAUUUCUUGCUGCCACUUGUCCUUGGAGCUCCAAAGUAGCCAGGUUCGGGAUGACUAACUUCACUAGGACGCCGCUGGGGACAAGAACGACUAGGUGCCUCCUGCCUGCCUUUUACCUUAUUUUCUUGCCGCCACCUUUCCUGAAUAUGGAUGGUGCCUUGGAGCUGGAAAAUGGUUGUCUGGGCUGGUGCUGCUUAGGCUCUCAUACGACGGGCUUAGACUGCUGACCGCCACCACAUGGCGAAGGUUGAGGAUUGGGUGCAGUGGUGCUGGUAGAGCACACUGCUAGCAGCAGCAAUGAUGACGCUGUGCAUGAAGGUCCAGGAGGGCGCCUUGGUAGAGGACGGGGACUUGCUGCCACUUGGGACAAGAAUAAACAAUUAGGUGAGGAAGAAAAGACCAAGUACUUCAUCCAUGCAGUUCUGUACCAGUAGAGGUCAAGUCCCAAGUUAAUCUACCCUCUCGACAUCAAGAAGUAGGCUGAAAGGAGAGGACGUCAGAGUUGGGCGAAGGCAGCAACGCCAUUGGUUCGAGGCUGGAGUUGGUUGAGGCCCACUUGGAGAAGCGGUGCGAGUCAGCCAUCGUGCUGGUGCUCAAAUACGAGAGCACUAACAAGGGCGUUUUUGAUGCCCACAAGGUGGUGGUGGAGCAGUUCGCGUGGGAGGGAGUGUAGGGAAAGGAAGGAGUUCCCGGUGGAGGUGUAGAUGCAGAUGGUGCUCACCUACCCAAACCUUGUCAGCCUGGUUGGGAUGAGAGGUUGCUGUGUGAGAGUACUUGCAGUUCCGCAUCCAGGAGAGACAUCUUUUUUGGUGGAGGUGAACAUUUCUUGGUCUGUUUCCGUGAAGGUGAUGGCUGGACUAGCCGAGCUUCCACUUAAAGAAGUGGUAGUCGCAGGGACCUGGUGCAUGUAGUGGCAGACUGCUGUAGCGCUUCCGAAGGGGUAUACAUCCAACCAACUGUUGUGUCCGUUUUGGUUGAUACUACCAAAUCCUGCUGGCGGGAUGGUGCGUCUCCAUGCAAUGAGAUAUGUGUUAUCAUUAUUACUGAGUGACGAAAUCAAUUCUUUAGAUUGAACUUGUUAUGUUUGCCCGUUCUAUGAUUUCCCUACAUGAAUAUAUCUAAGGUCUACCAUGAGUAUCGAUGGUGUGUUGCACAGGGAACAACAAGCGCAUUUUCUUUGGAGUGACCAUGACAUGAAUUCUGUGAUGGUCGGACAAGCCGAGCUUCAAGAAGCAGUGGUAGUCGCUGGGACCUGGUACAUGGAGCGGUAGACUGCUGUGGCGCUUCCAAAUGGGAAGAAGUCUAGCUACUGUGUCCAUUUUGGUUGAUACUACCGAAUCGUGCUGGAGGACGCAAAAUUAAAAUUUUAUGCAUGCGUGCCUAUCUGGUCCGCGACCAGAGAAGCAUAGGGCGGUGAUGGGUGAAGAGAAUGGUAGCUAGGGCUUGAUGCUAGCUUGGUCCGUUUGUAGCUCUGGAAUUGCAUUACUUUAUGGAUUUAGCUAAGCUGCUGUUAGUUGUCUCAUGAGGCUUGUGCUUCAGCCUUGGGCUGAGUUGGGUUGUUGGCGAGAGGAUGUCUGGGGAUGGUUGUAAUCAUGGGCAGUGAGUUAAUGAAAUGUAUAUGCUGCUGCUCAUAUCUAUACAAUAUUUGUGGUCUCAUUUCGCUCACUUUGACAUGUAAUACUCUUGGAUUUUAUCACGGGUUUUUGUAUAAGCUGAAUGGUAUUUUUACUGUCUAUUGGUCUCAGUUAGCUCACCUUUUA